rnacentral:tRNA from 1 species
GGGCGAUUAGCUCAGUUGGGAGAGCACCUCCCUUACAAGGAGGGGGUCACUGGUUCCUCCCUUACAAGGAGGGGGUCACUGGUUCGAGACCGGUAUCGCCCACCA